GGGAAUGUGGCUUAGUGGUAAGGUGCUUGUCUAGCAUGCAUGAAGCCUUGGGUUCAAUUCCUCAGUACCA
rnacentral:tRNA from 1 species